AACCAAUAUGACUAUUUGGUUACAUUUGGCUUUUGUUGCUUAGUUUAUUCUUACAUAGAUGGGCAGCUGGAUGUUAGGGAAAAACAGGGACAGGAAAGAGACUCCAUCCAGUGGCUCUCUGAAGAUUCACCCUUGUUAUCAGUCACUUGGGAUUCUGUUAUCAGAAUUUGGGAUUGCUUGUUAUCACAGCAUUACCUAGUCUACCCUGACUAAUACAAGGGCACUUUGAGAAUCUGAUGGAAGCUCAGGCCACAAGAAAACUGCACAUUCAUGCAAAAUUCAGAACCUUUCAAUUUUAAUGUCUUGAGAUUUCGUUGUGUUUCUAAGAUCCUUGAUGUCCCACAGCCUCCUCUUCUCAGCCUUGGAAUCUGAGGCACCUGGGUUGUAAGUGAUGCUAUGUCAGUGUUCACAAAGGCUCACAAGUCUGCGAAGUGGCCAAGAUGAGCUGACCCUGUCACCAUGGAGCAAGGCCUAUGUGUGCAAAUGAGUCAUGAGCUGAGAGGAAAGAGCUUGAGCCUGAGCUUUUUUUUUUCUUUUCUUUUCUUUUCUUUUUAUGAUGAUUGCUUGAGCCUGAGCUUGUUUGCCAGAUGCUUUCACUAGCCCAAGCUUGUUUUGUGGAUGCUUUCUGCUGCCAGCUACUUUGUAGUCCCUCCUGUGUGACAGCAUCUUGCCAUCAACGGGCUGCAGAAGAAGGGGUGCUUGUUGCUAUUGUGAGCAAACACUGCAUAAACAAUCAGCUCACAUGUGUGUCCCAGAGCGUAUGACCAAUGACCUGGAGAACUCUCAGGCUGUGGGGUGGAGAGAAGGCCAUUCUGAGGUCAACUGAAACCUCACUUGAGGGGCAGUUCCGUAGAUGGGAAUGAGGAGAGAGUCAUGGCCACAGCCACCUGGCCAAGGAGAGAGGCCAUAACUGCCAGACAGAACCAAGGAUGGAGGGACUUCAGCAGCACGAACAAUCCACACUCAGCAUGGGUCACUCUCUGGGACACACAUUUCCCUCUGGCUGAAAGGCUGAGCUGCUCCAGGGCCAACUGUGAGGUCAGACAGCUGCCCAGGGAUGUCUCCAGCCACUCAAGGGAAGAAGAGACCACUCACCUGUAAUUUCAACAGCAACAAAAGACCUGAGGUUCCACCAUCAGAACUUCACGCCCUAAGGAAGAUGCAGCAUUUCCUGUAAAAUGCAAGUGCUCCCAGGCAGAGGUAGCUCCCGAAGCCAUGAUCAGUUAUGUAUACCUUAGUGGCAGCUGAUUAACAGACUCUUCCCCAGAGCCAGCUGACAGGAAGCACAUCGGGGUAAAAGGGAAGAUGAAAACUUGGGUGCCUGGAGGAAGGGAACAAAUGCGAGCAGGAGCAUGGUAAUAACAUAGCUGGACAGGCUUUAGGGACCUGCUUGAGCAGAACAUGGUAGAAGUGAUGGACUGGGGCUUCUGAGGCUAAGCCAUAAGAAGCCUUGAGAAUUUCACCUGGCCCUCACUGUCUCUGGGAGCCCUGAGCCAUGAUAGAAGAAGUCCUUCCUAUAUUGAAUGUCCUUGAGACCUCCAGUACUGGAAAGGGCAUUUGUAGAUGCUCAGACCAACAGUCCAAACUGAGCCCAGUCUGCCAACUUGCCCUGCCAAGGUGUCAGAUGCAUAUGUGAAUGAGACCAUCCUAGACCUGCUGAUAGCCCAUCACCCGGCUGACUGCUACUGAGUAACCUCUGCCAACUUCACGCCGAACACAGAACUGCUGAUUUGAACUCUGCCUGAAUUUCUUGGCCCACAGAACAAUGAGAUAUAAUUAAAAGGCAAUGGUUCAAGCCA
rnacentral:lncRNA from 1 species